rnacentral:rRNA from 1 species
CCUACGGGUGGCAGCAGUGAGGAAUAUUGGUCAAUGGCCGGAAGUCUGAACCAGCCAAGCCGCGUGCAGGACGAAGGUUCCAAGCGUUGUAAACUGCUUUUGUCCAGGGGCAAACUCAGGCACGAGAGCCUGUCUGAGGGUACCUGAAGAAAAAGCAUCGGCUAACUCCGUGCCAGCAGCCGCGGUAAUCGGGAGGAUGCAAGCGUUAUCCGGAUUUAUUGGGUUUAAGGGGUGCGAGGGCGGUCUGUUAAGUCAGCGGUAAAAGCCGGGGGCUAAACCCCGGAUUGCCGUUGAAACUGGCAGGCUAGAGAGUAAGUGCGGUAUGCGGAAUGCGUGGUGUAGCGGUGAAAUGCUUAGAGAUCGUGCAGAACUCCGAUUGCGAAGGCAGCAUACCGGC